rnacentral:rRNA from 1 species
UACGAAGGGGGCUAGCGUUGCUCGGAAUCACUGGGCGUAAAGGGUGCGUAGGCGGGUUUUUAAGUCAGAGGUGAAAUCCUGGAGCUCAACUCCAGAACUGCCUUUGAUACUGAGAAUCUUGAGUUCGGGAGAGGUGAGUGGAACUGCGAGUGUAGAGGUGAAAUUCGUAGAUAUUCGCAAGAACACCAGUGGCGAAGGCGGCUCACUGGCCCGGUACUGACGCUGAGGUGCGAAAGCGUGGGGAUCAAACAGG